rnacentral:misc_RNA from 1 species
GAUGAAGAACGCAGCGAAAUGCGAUACGUAAUGUGAAUUGCAGAAUUCAGUGAAUCAUCGAGUCUUUGAACGCACAUUGCGCCCCCUGGUAUUCCGGGGGGCAUGCCUGUCCGAGCGUCAUUGCUGCCCUCAAGCACGGCUUGUGUGUUGGGCCUCCGUCCCCCUCCCGGGGGACGGGCCCGAAAGGCAGCGGCGGCCCCGCGUCCGGUCCUCGAGCGUAUGGGGCUUCGUCACCCGCUCUUGUAGGCCCGGCCGGCGCUUGCCGACACAUCAAUCUUUUUUCCAGGUUGACCUCGGAUCAGGUAGGGAUACCCGCUGAACUUAAGCAUAUCAAGCGGAGGA